rnacentral:lncRNA from 11 species
CUCAAAGGCUCAAAUCUGUUGGUUAAAGUGAUAGCUGUCUCUUCAGGCGUCCUUGAGGCUUGAGCUUGGCGUGCAGCUGCAGAGUCCUCUAAGUAACUUUGUUUUAGUAAGAUAGAUUCACCUACUGGCUUUGGAGAUGUUUUCUUUCUUUUACAAUCCUUCUUAUCAUCUUGAGAACCCUGAACAGUUGGUCAAUAUCAAAUUCUGUCAUUUUGAUCUCAAAAUUGGCCUUCCGAUAAGGUUGACUUAUACAUGAGUAUAUUUGGUGAUCUGAAACAAAGGAAAGAAUGGAAAUUGAAUGCAAAUUAAUUGAAAACAACAAAUCUCAAGGACAGGAAUUGAAAGGCAAAUUGGGAAGUAAAGCAAAUUACCCAGAGCAAUUGGAUGGGAAUGGUUUCAGCUCCAAGACUUUCACAAUUUUAAGGGAUCGGGAGACCAGGAGCGGACCAGUGGCAGCUUCACCCCCUAAAGACUCUAUCAUAUCUAACUCUUUAAUAAAUUGGCUCUAUCUUUGUGAUUUUCCAUGUAACUUAUUAUGUAUCCUUCAAGGGGAUGUUGGUAAUUGAUCCCAUGCCCAACCAAUCCUCAGCCAUCAUUUUCCUCCCCUGGAGGUGGUGAUGUCAGCAGAGCUCCCAGCCAAUCUGGGUGCGUAUCCUGACCAGCCCCUAUUUCAGUCAAUCAGAGGCUCCUGCCUCUGAUUAGCUGAAGGUUUGAAUAGCUGUCAAACUGUAUAAGAUAUCUUGCUUUCCUCUGUAUAUUAUGCUUGUACCUUUGAAGCAUCUUGUUUGUACUUGCAUCCCUUUUGGCUGAAUCAUAUUAAACAUCUGUAUCUUGUC